rnacentral:other from 1 species
GAAUAACGGUACAGUUAAAUGGUUUAAUGCAGAAAAAGGUUUUGGUUUCAUCGAAAGAGAAGAUGGUAGCGACGUAUUCGUACACUUCUCAGCAAUCGCUGAAGAUGGAUACAAAUCAUUAGAAGAAGGCCAAAAAGUUGAAUUCGACAUCGUUGAAGGCGACCGUGGCGAGCAAGCUGCAAACGUAGUUAAAAUGUAAUUUUAACUUAUUCAAACAGUCCUUAUUAUAGGGCUGUUUUUUU